GACGAACGCUGGCGGCGUGCCUAAUACAUGCAAGUCGAACGCAUUUUCUUUCACCGUAGCUUGCUACACCGAAAGAAAAUGAGUGGCGAACGGGUGAGUAACACGUGGGUAACCUGCCCAUCAGCGGGGGAUAACACUUGGAAACAGGUGCUAAUACCGCAUAAUUCCAUUUACUGCAUGGUAGAUGGAUGAAAGGCGCUUUUGCGUCACUGAUGGAUGGACCCGCGGUGCAUUAGCUAGUUGGUGGGGUAACGGCCUACCAAGGCUGCGAUGCAUAGCCGACCUGAGAGGGUGAUCGGCCACACUGGGACUGAGACACGGCCCAGACUCCUACGGGAGGCAGCAGUAGGGAAUCUUCGGCAAUAGACGCAAGUCUGACCGAGCAACGCCGCGUGAGUGAAGAAGGUUUUCGGAUCGUAAAACUCUGUUGUUAGAAAAGAACAAGGAUGAGAGUGGAAAGUUCAUCCCUUGACGGUAUCUAACCAGAAAGCCACGGCUAACUACGUG
rnacentral:rRNA from 1 species